UCCUUUUAUAGACAAGAUUCAACUUCAGAGAAAGUUCCAAUGGUUCUCAAAAGUUUCUAUUUAGAGUAGGCAUUAAAUGUAUUGGUUCGUUGAUCUUUGAUACUGAGAAGUAAGAGUGGAAACAUGCCAGGUCAAGCCACACUCUAUCUUAAACAAGCCGAGCCUACAUAACAUAUAGGAUUCUAGGUCUGAGUUUGUUCUUCUUCAGAUCCUUGUCCUUGUUCAAGUCUAACAUAGGAAUUCUUGGACAUGUCUUAUGAGGAUCCAUGACUAACUUAGUUCCUUCAAAAUGGGGUAACCAUAAAAUCUGAACGUUGUUGCUUGCUUUGAAUGCCCAGGGUACUCAAACUUUUCUUGAAGAUGAGCAAACAGAAAUAAGUUUGUGAGUAAUCUAACUUCUCCAUAAUUUCUCGGGUGUACAAAAUACUUCCACUUCAAAUCUUGACCGAAGAUCAAACACUCAUUUCCAUAGGUUUUGGAUGUUUGAUACUUUUCAUUUCUAGAUUCCAAUUUAACUGGCACAAAUUACCAUUCUGGAUUACAUCCCUAUCAAAUCCAUCUUGAUAGGGGUAAUGGGUGUUAGAUUUACAAGGUUGAGGUAGAUUUUGGUUGGUGAGAAUAUGUGAUUGGCCAAGUGGGUUACAAAGGAUCCAAGAUUAUUGACUGUCAUAGAAGGAAUGGACCUUCUUCAUAGAAAAUGGUUGUGGACCAAGCGUACACGAUUAGUGAGCAUUUAGUUUUAUAUUCAGGUAAGGGAUAGAAGAGUUUAAUGGGUAGAGUUAUGUUUCCAAUGAAUGUAAUAGCACUUUUCAUUCUCUUCUAAUUUGGUCAUGAUUUUCAGCAUGUCUAUCAUAGAGAGUGGAUUAGUCUAUGAAAGUGAAUUGAGUUUUGGAAUGUUUUGGGUAUGUUGCUCCUAUAAGUAUGGAGGAAAAGUUGUUUUGAGGUGAUAGUAUUUGGUUAUCCAUAGGGUUGAGGGUGAGGGUCUUGUGGUUGUUGUAUGGGUUGUGAAGGUUGUUAUGGUUUUGGUGGAGUAGCGUCAGCAAUAUCAUCUACGUUCUCUACAAGUGUCUUCAUUUCUAUAUGAACAAACACAUUACAGAAAGGGAUUACCUCUUAUGUGUGGCGACUUAGCCUUUGGUGAUCUCAUUUUCUUGGCCACUGUUGUACGAAAGGUACCAACACAUAUCUUCUAUAUUUUUCUCAAGAUGGGGAUGCUAUUAUCAUCACUUUCCUCCUCCAUUGUCCAGAAGAGUUUCUCCAUUGUAAAAAAGAAUCUCUCCUUUAUCUUAGCUAAGUUUUGACGAAUACAUUAACAUCAAUAAAGAAGAAAAAAGUUGAAGGCCUUUUUAG
rnacentral:lncRNA from 1 species